UGGCUCUGUUGGUAGAGCAUGGUGUGUGCAACGCCAGGGUUGUGGGUUCAAUUCCCAC
rfam:Salmo salar isolate Sally breed double haploid chromosome ssa11, whole genome shotgun sequence.